GACGAACCGAGCGAACGUUGUUCGGAAUCACUGGGCUUAAAGGGCGCGUAGGCGGGUGCUCAAGUCUGUGGUGAAAUCCUCCGGCUCAACCGGAGAACUGCCAUGGAUACUGGGUGCCUCGAGGGUGAUAGGGGUAUGCGGAACUAUCGGUGGAGCGGUGAAAUGCGUUGAUAUCGAUAGGAACUCCGGUGGCGAAGGCGGCAUACUGGAUCACUUCUGACGCUGAGGCGCGAAAGCCAGGGGAGCGAACGGGG
rnacentral:rRNA from 1 species